rnacentral:misc_RNA from 1 species
UACCCGAGCAAUCAUAGCAAACUCCCGUGAACUUGUCAUCCCCACCCAUCUCGCCUAUUUCUGUUGGACAAUCUGACCCUUAACGCGCUCGACAUUGACUAGCGCGUGCGUCUGUAUGUGCACAGGAGCGUCAACAGCAGAUUCAUUCUAGGUGGCAUAGGAACACAGACACACACGCGCACCGUUGUUUGGAUCGACCGCUGGCGUCCACCACCGCUUGUCACGCAUUCUCACCGCGUCUUUCGGGCGGCUCAUUUUUUUAUUUUGUAUUGUCUCCCCCCUCCGCUCAGUGUGUUUUCUCUGCACUUUCUGUUUUGUUUCAUGCGUAAUGUUAUCAAAGGUCACUGAAGACGGAGCCGACAGCGCGUCUGUCGGACGUCGCAUCGAUGCAGCCAUCAAGGUGGACCGAUGGGAGCUGCGCGAGGACACCCUGCCGGUUGGCGGCCAGGCACUUGUGAGCGAGACGCUCUUCUCUCUCGGAAACGGCCUCGUCGGCGUGCGUGGGCAUGCAGAGGAGACGGAAGCGGGCCAGAACCGCCACGAACGGCACAGGGCGCACAUUAGUCGUCAGCGCUCGUAUCACAACAGUCGUCGAGGUGAUGAUGAGCUGUUCAGCGACGUCAAGGAUCGACAUUCUCCUUUGGGUGAUGGGGGAGACUGGCACCACUCGCGCGCGCAGGGCGGCGGCAGUAAUGGCAAUAGCGUCAAUGGCCCUCGUGGACAGCGAGGAGUGUACUUCUCCGGGUUUUAUGAGCAGCGUCCUCUCAUGCAUCCACGCUCUUUCUCAGCUGGUCUCUCCACCAAGGAGGGCUACCGCCUGCGCACGCCAGAUCCCUUCUGCAUCGACGCGUUCCUCAGCGGCGAGCACAUUAGCGCCGCACGGGGUCCCACACGGAGCCACACUCGUCGCCUCGACCUGCGCACAGGGGAGCUGUAUCGCCGCUUCGUCUGGUUCUCCAACCAGCAGCACCGCGAGAUCACCGUCGAGACGCGCCGCUUUGUUUCUGCGGCGCGCAAGAACAUCUCCGCCAUGCACUACAAGAUGAGCGUGCGAAACGCGCACAACACCGACGUGCGCCUCAUCUCGCGCACAUUCCUUUCAGCUGCCGAGUACGACGUCGAGACGAUGCUCACUCAGUCGAACAUUCAAGACGCCAUGAGCGUCGUGCUCGUGCGAACGCGUAAUAGCUGCCGUCAUCUCGCCAUCGCCUCUGUCGAGACGUGCACGUCCCGCUCCUACCCUGCUGGCAUACAGACCUUCCCGACGAGGGACGCCAGCACCCCCACCCAAGGCGGCACCGGCGGUGACACGGGCUUUGGCACAUCUCCAUCUGGUCCCGCCCCGUCGUGCAGUGCUUCGCCAUCGAGCCCGGCGGCCGCGUCUCCGACGACUCUCACCCCAAACAGUCGCGAGACAGAGUGGGGGACGGAGACGUCCUACACGAGCUGCAUCUCCGAUGGCGUCAUCGUCGAGUUUGUCAAAGUUAUCGGCCACUUCGGCGACGAGGAUUCAACGACGGAGGAGUUGCUCGACGUGGCGACGCAUCAGACUCGCAAGGUGGCAGCACUCGGCUACGAGGGGCUGCUGGCGGAGCACCGCGACGUUAUGAACGCCUUCUGGGACACGGCGGAUGUGCGGGUGGAACCGAGGGCGGAUGUGCAGGGCGCCUUCCGCUUCAAUAUCCUGCAGACCUACAUGUCGACCAGCGGGGACCCGUACUACUGCUUUCCGACCCGCGGUCUGACAGGCGAUAUGCUCCUGGGUGUACAGCAGUGGGAUGUGGACGCGCUGAUCGUGCCGUUCCUCUCCCACGCGUGUCCCAAGAAGGCGCGCGCGCUGCUUGAGUUCCGCAUUCGUACACUGAAUGAGGCAAAGGACAUUGCGGCGGACUUGUCACUGCCCCGCGGCGCAUUGUUCCCAUAUCGUACCGUGACUGGAGAGAAGAACCCCACGCCUUACUGCGGCGCGUUUCUCUUCGUGAACGCCGUCGUCGUCUACGCGCUAAAGGAGUAUGUGACGGCGACGAACGACACUAGCAUCCUCGUGCAAGGCGGUGCUGACCUCGUCUUCACGACGGCGCUUGUCUGGCUGCAGUGGGGCACGUGGGAGAAAGGCCUGUUUCACCUGCGCUCGGUGUCGGGCCCCGACACGUACAAUGAUGUCGCCGACAACAACUUCUUCACGAACUUGAUGGCACAGAUGCAUCUGCAGUGGGCGGUUCAGCUGGCGGUGAUGCUGCGACAGGAGAACCCGGAGAUGUGGCACGGCAUUAUGCACCGAGCUCAGAUGACGGAAAACGACAUUGUUGCCAUGGACCAGGCGGCGGCGAAGAUGGUGCUGCCCUUCGACGGCACCCAUCGUAUCCACCCCAUGGAUCAGUCGUUCAUGCGGAAGAAGCACUGGAACCUCACGUCGCUCAAGGACGGCGCGGAGGGCCCGCUGACAUCGCUGUACCACCCGACAGUGGUGUACCGGCAUCGAGUGUGUCACAUACCGGACGUGCUGCUCGCAAUCAUGCUCGCGCCAGACAGCUUCUCGUUGGAUGAGGCAAAAGCGGACUUCACGUUUUACGAAGCUGUAACCGCUUCGGACUCGGCGCUGCGGCUCGCCAUCUUUAGCGUCGUUGCGGCGCAGCUGCGUCUGUCAAACAAGGCGAUGAGCUACUUUCACGACUCACUCUUUGUGGACAUCGACAACCUCAUCGGCAACUCCGGCGGCGGCCUCCACUGCACCGCGGCGGCGGGGUCGUGGAGCUCCAUGGCGGUGGGAAUCUGCGGACUGCGCGUGGCGCAGGGCGUGCUGCACUUCAACCCCGUUUUGAGUGAAGAAAUGGACGAGUUCGAGUUCCACGCGCGGCACCGCGGCUGUCUCGUGCGCGUCCUGGUGACAAAGAGGCUCGUUACAUACACACUAGUCAGCGCUCCAGAGGGUGUGACGGACCUCAUCCUGGUUCACGCCGGCGUAAACCGCAUCACCUUGCGACUGAAUCACCCCGAAACGGUGCGGCUCUUUAGAGAAGUGCGCGUGUUCGACUUCGACUGCGUCGUAUUUGAGCUCGAUAGCGUCGUCGAGGACAUCGAGGGCGUUCACUACCAUGCCUGGACACAAACGCUGGAGGAGCAUUUUCAUCAGCACGGCUUUUCGGACUUUUCGAUGACAAAGGAGCUCUACCUCGCUUACCUACGGCAUGUGAAGCCCUUCUACGGCCUGAACGAAAUUUUCAAGAAAUACAACCAGAACCCCCCGCCGACCGGCGAGGUGGAUGACACGGCGGAGUCGAACACUCUCUACGGCCUGUGCCGCCGCAAGCUGCAGCUGUUCCGUUCUUACGCGACGACGCACGGCAUGCCGAUGCGUGAGGGUGUUCUGCAGCUCAUCUCCCUUCUCCGCCAGUACGGGAUCGCCGUCGGAUGCGUCAGCGGCAGCAAGAAUGCGCGAUGGGUCAUCAACGAAACCACCAAAGGCAGCUCCAUUUUCGACAACUUCCUGGAAGGCAAGGAGGGCGAGGAACUGGGGCUGCGCUGGCGGCCCGAAAUGGACUACUUCGAGGCCUGCGCGCACCGCAUGGAUGCGGCGACAAACCGCGCCGUUGUGGUGAUGGAUGGCAUCGAUGGGUUUUCCAAGAAGGCGCUGGAGCGCUUCCGCAUGGUUGUUGACGUGAGCCUGACUCCUGAGGAGACCACUCUGUCCAUUCCGAGAGUGUUCGCGAAGAACCUUGGCGACAUUACGAUGGAGACGCUGAAUGAGUACACUGUCCGCGGUGGCGUCGUCAAUCAUCUUCGGGAGAUGUAGAGACGGCUGCAUGCACUCACACAGCGGAAAGGAAAAGCAGCAGAAGCGUUCAGAGGGGUGGGAUGCCGUUUGUGGACUUUAUGUCUUUCGCAAAUUCCCUUACAUGCCGUUCUGAAGCGCAUGCGUUGCGCUGGUGUGCGCUGAGCCCUUCCCUCCCCCUUUUUUCUUGGUGCUUUUUGGCUUCUUUGUUAGCUCUCCUGUUGCCUUCCUCUUAUUCUCAUAUAUGUAUAGCGUAUUGUUGUGUGGUGCUUUAGUCACAGCGAAAAGUGAUGAGGCGGAGGAGUCUUGAUAUGCGUGUCUGUGCGUGUGCGGGAUGAGCGGCGACCGAGGCCCUUUUCUUUUUCGUUUGCUUUUCAACCCACCCACUACCAUCCUUUUCUCCCCUCCGUGCUGACGCUUUCGAAGCGGACGUGCUUCUUCUUUUCAUAUGCGUUGCAACAACGAUGUCAUGUCCUCACUUUCUAUGGUCAUGUUGUUAUUGCGCGCUCCUGCUCGUUCCCUUGUUAUUAUUGUUGCUGCCCCUGUUCUCGCGUUUGCCUGGUGUUGUUGGGAACUUCGGUUUUCCUCGAACAGGGAGGCCAUGCUCACACGCGCAUGGGCGGCUGCUCUUGCGGCAUUUCACUAUCCUCUCCUGUCUCUCCUUGUCGCGCCAUCCCUAUCCCUGAAGCGCAUUCCGUUGCCGCCCACUGGGCCGAAGGACUCGCGUGUGCCCCCUCCCCCGGUGAUUCUCUCUCCUCUUCUCCCCACUUGCUUUUCGCUUGUCCUUUCCUCUCUCUGUGUGUGUGAGUGUGUGUGUCACUGUUCUUGCGCCUUGCUUGCGCUCGCUGCUUGUGCUAUUGAUGCCUGUACUUCUAUAGCUUGUUAUCAUCACGUCAUCUCGUGUAUGUUUCCUUUUCGUUUUCGCGUCGGCGUUGCCUAUCACCUGGUGCACUCCUUCCUUCCCUCUGCCCCUCAUCUAUAUAUAUAUAUCUUUCCCCUCCCCCUCUUUUGUUCAUUUCUCUUCUGACCCCCUUUCCUCGCUUCUUCUUUUUUUUUGCGUGUUCGUUGGUACCUCCCCUCCCCUCCCGCUUCUCUUCUCGUUCUGUUCGAUCAAGUUCAAGAGGGGGGCUGAAGCAUACAAGCCUACACACACACACAGAGACGCACCAUACAUGCACAUACACGCACACAUACAGUUCAUUCCUAUUGUAAUUACUACGAUUAUCACGAAGAAAAUAAAAUCAGGGACGCUGCGAAAGACACGCACACGAGAUGAUUCUGCCACCCUUCUCCCUCCCCUCGCUGUCGUAGGAGAGGGGCUAGGAGAAUAUAGGAGCGUGGAGAGGAGGCGCAGAUAGUGGCACACUGUGGCGCGCGCACACACCUUCGAUGUCUGAGGUGCAUCUUUCUUCACAUCCGCGUGCACUCCUCGCAAGCACUUUCUCUCUGCGGGGAAGUACGACUACACACACACACACACACACAAGUACGCAAGUAAUGCAAUUGCAGGCCUGCGAUGGUCAAUAACGGCAACGAACAAAAAAAACAAGGAGAAUAUUGCCGUGCAGAAUACGGAGAUGCUCGCCUGGAACUGCAGCGCAACACACUUGUUUGUGUUUACUGGCGCUCGAGCGCCUCUAUGCGCGAAGCUGACGCUUUUCGUGCCGAAUGUUGCAACGCGGCAUAGAGUGCGCGGGUUGUAUAACAGAAGAAAAAUCCG